AUUGAACGCUGGCGGCGUGCCUAACACAUGCAAGUCGAGCGGUAACAGGUGUAGCAAUACAUGCUGACGAGCGGCGGACGGGUGAGUAACGCUUGGGAAUCUGCCUGUUAGUGGGGGACGAACCCGGGGAAACGUCGGGCGUAAUACCGCAUACGCACUACGGUGGAAAGCCGGGGACCGCAAGGCCUGGCGCUAACAGAUGAGCCCAAGUCGGAUUAGCUAGUUGGUAGGGUAACGGCCUACCAAGGCGACGAUCCGUAACUGGUCUGAGAGGACGACCAGUCACACCGGAACUGAGACACGGUCCGGACUCCUACGGGAGGCAGCAGUGGGGAAUAUUGGACAAUGGGCGAAAGCCUGAUCCAGCGACGCCGCGUGGGU
rnacentral:rRNA from 1 species